UCAGCUGAUCUGACGCAGGUUCUUUUCAGUUUCUGAUCCUCGAUGAGUCACUGACGUCUUUUAAAUUAAUUCUUAAAAAAACUUUAGUUUUGUGUUGCAGGAGAUCAUCAUCAUCAUUGAUAGGAACCAGAGUGUGAAGCCACAGUUUUCCUGUGUGAUAACGUCUCAAUGUUCCAGGAAGUUUCCUCAUGUCAGUGUUCACAUGGCGUCACCCCCCCGCUUCCCACCUGUUUCCUAUCAGGAAGUAACAUGUGGGCAGAGACAGGAAGUCCAGGCUGAAGUGGACAGAGACAGAGACAGAGACACACGAUCACAAAGUUCAACCCAGCAGCCAGAUUAAAAAAAUGAACUGUUAACAAACACGUACGAGAAACGAGUGAAGACAAAGUGUUUGUGUUGAUCAGCUGUGAAUCGUCUUCGUCUCUACAACCAAAGUUCGUCUGUUUCAUCUUAGUCAUCAAUGUGUCACUUCCUCAUGUUUGUAGCAUAUUUAUCAUUUAUUCUACAUUUUCUUUGUCUGUAACAGUUUAUAUAAAAAUACCCAAUAUUGUUUUAAACCUACUUAAGAACAAAGAGAAUUAUACAUGACAUGUUUGAGCUGGAUGUGAUGUCAUUUCUUGUCUUGUGUAUAAAGUGAAUCAUAAAAACAGCUGUCAA